GCGUUUAUAGCUCAGUUGGUUAGAGCACCACCUUGACAUGGUGGGGGUCGUUGGUUCGAGUCCAAUUUAACGCACCA
rnacentral:tRNA from 1 species